UACGGAGGGUGCAAGCGUUAUCCGGAAUUACUGGGCGUAAAGCGUGCGUAGGCGGUUCGCUGUGUCCGAUGUGAAAGCCCCGGGCUUAACCUGGGAAUGGCAUUGGAAACUGGCGGGCUUGAGUGCGGCAGAGGGGGGUGGAAUUCCGCGUGUAGCAGUGAAAUGCGUAGAGAUGCGGAGGAACACCGAUGGCGAAGGCAGCCCCCUGGGUCGACACUGACGCUCAGGCACGAAAGCGUGGGGAGCAAACAGG
rnacentral:rRNA from 1 species